CUCACGGAGCUGCUGGAGGAUGAAGCUGCUGAUGAAGAGGAGGAUGCAUGUUUUCGUCCUGACCAGCAGGGCCGGACUGAACGUCUCAGCUGGUUUCAGCCUCAUGGGGGCGCUAGAGAGGCUACAGAUGUCCAUGUCCUGCUUUUCAUCUAAUCGUCAUGUGAAACUCUGAGUAUCUAUAAAAACAGUCUGGUGCUCGGCUCCAGAUCAUCUCAGGACCCUCUUCACUAAGAUCUUCAUCCUCAUCAUCAUCAUCAUCAUCACCAUGACGUCAUCACAGGGCCGCAACACGUCCGCUCUAUAAAAGGAAAUGAUGCCGUCCAUCUACAAUUAUUGGUCUGAUGCUGACGGGGGUUUGCUGUCGCAGCAUAUCACCAUGGCAACCACAGCACUGAGGAGACAGUGAUUUUCCAACAGGCCGGUCGCUAUGGGAAACCAACAAUGAAAGUUACUGGUGACCGAACAACGACUUUCCAGUCCACAACAACGACUUUCCAGUCCACAACAAUGACGACGACGGACCGUAUUUCUCAACUGAAGCUAUGAACGGCUCCCACCUACGCUGUUGACAUGCUCUCUGAAUACACACCAGAUGGACCCCUGAAAUCAUCAAAUAAAAGGUCUCCUCACCAUCCUAGAAUAAAUACUACAGCAGCUCAUGGUGCCUUCAGCCAUGAUGCUCCUACUCAGUCUGGCAGGUUUGAUGAUGAUGAUGAUGAUGAUGAUGAUGAUGAUGAUGAUGAUGAAGAGGAGUCUUACCCCAGCGUCAUCUCCAC